CUUCCUACGGGAGGCAGCAGUGAGGAAUAUUGGUCAAUGGGCGGAAGCCUGAACAAGCCAAGUCGCGUGAGGGAAUAAGGCCCUACGGGUCGUAAACCUCUUUUGCCGGGGAGCAAGGGCGGGGACGUGUCCCGGCCCGGAGAGUACCCGGAGAAAAAGCAUCGGCUAACUCCGUGCCAGCAGCCGCGGUAAUACGGAGGAUGCGAGCGUUAUCCGGAUUUAUUGGGUUUAAAGGGUGCGUAGGCGGAAUAUCAAGUCAGCGGUAAAAAUUCGGGGCUCAACCCCGUCGUGCCGUUGAAACUGAU
rnacentral:rRNA from 1 species